rnacentral:lncRNA from 10 species
GCGUUGUUUCACAGCUGGAUGAGAGAACUCUGGUCACCCAGGCUGAGUCGGGGGAGGGGAUUCUCGAAACUGAGGAAGACGGCAUCCUAUGGGCUCCCGCGCCUCCCAGCCUGAGCCUGUGCUGCCCCCUGCUGGCCAGCUCUGGGCCCCCUGCAGGCUCCCUUUCCCACCUAGAGCGCCUGCGUAGGAACUAACCCAGCCAGAAGUCCCCUCUGCCACCAGAGCUUGAGUCUAGGGUCUGACAGCAAGCACAGGAUGUGCUGAGUGGGGAAGAGAAUCAAAAGAUCUCGCGGGGAAUGUGCAAGGAUUUCCCCCUUGAUCCACAUACCUAAGGACUGCCUCCCUCAUAAGUGAAGGCUGAAAGAAACCAUUCAAAGAAACCAAAUGGGAAAAGUCAGCUCUGUCCCCAAAUGCCAUUGCCUGUACCCAAAAUCAAUAGAAAUGUUUAUUUGUUUAAAGAAAAACUUAGGGUGCCUGAUGGAGCUAUUCGAAAACACAGAUGCCCGGGCUCUGUUCCCAGCCUGCUGAAUCAGAAUCACCGGGAGGCGCUACUUCUUCUCCGGACUAGCCUCAAACCCAGAUUUUCCCAAACCCCAAAGCUCCCAGACCGUUUAAUAUCUCACCUUUCCAGCUGGAGGAAAACCAAUGCCUUUCCACUUGAACUUCAGUGAAAAACUUCAUUGUCUAGAGAAUACUCCUCCAGGGUAUCUGACUCUAGUCUUUCAUUGACUUUGAGCUAUUUUACAAAAUAGCUAAUUGCUGGCAAUGCAAAAAAAAAAUUAUUGUUUAUAAACAUGCAAAUUAUGUUCUGUCUAGUAGAAAGUCAAUUGAUUUUGCUUACCCUCUGUAAAAAAAAAAAUCCGUUUGCCUCCAUUUGCACAUUUAUUUCAUUAUUCCUGGUCUACAAAUGGGUCUAUUUUUUGAACCUAUUGUAAUAUCUGCUUGAUUUCUUCAAUGAUCAUUGAGUUAAAGAAAAUCUUGAACAUGUUCAUUUUAUAUCUAUGUGAGAGUUUCUUUCUUUUUUUCUUUUUUUUUUUUUUUUUUGAGAUGGGAGUCUCGCUCUCUCUCCCAGGCUGCGGUGCAGUGGCCCGAUCUCGGCUCACUGCAACCUCCGCCUCCCGGGUUCAAGUGAUUCUCCUACCUCAGCCUCCUGAGUAGCUGGGAUUACAGGCGCACGCCACCAAACCCGGCUAAUUUUUGUAUUUUUAGUAGAGACAGGGUUUCACAACGUUGGCCAGGCUGGUCUCGAACUCCUGACCUCAAGCAAUCUGCCUGUCUCGGCCUCUCAAAGUGCUGGGAUUACAGGCUUGAGCCACCACAUCCGGGCGAGAGUUUCUUUUUUGGAAAAUUAUUUUUAAUAUACCAGUGACAAGUACUUUCCUAUUCUCUACUCUUUGGUCAUCUGCCACUUACACUCUUUGCUUUGGUUAAAGUUUACUCGGGGGAUUUUCUCAGAAAAUAACUCCCUUUUUGUAACUUUCCACUGUAUGCAUAAUGUCUGUCCGAAGAUUCCUGGAAGAACAGCAGAAUAACCAAAAGGUGUUAUAUUUUUAAUUAAGGCAAAAGAGAGGUCAGAAGAUUGGUUCCUAAACUUCUCUUCCACAAAUAAAAUAAACUCAUCAGAUGUUCACUAGGCUUUAACUCUCAACUACCUUACUUACUCCGUCCUUACUU